rnacentral:rRNA from 1 species
UGGGGAAUUUUGGACAAUGGGCGAAAGCCUGAUCCAGCAAUGCCGCGUGUGUGAAGAAGGCCUUCGGGUUGUAAAGCACUUUUGUCCGGAAAGAAAUCCUUGGCUCUAAUACAGUCGGGGGAUGACGGUACCGGAAGAAUAAGCACCGGCUAACUACGUGCCAGCAGCCGCGGUAAUACGUAGGGUGCAAGCGUUAAUCGGAAUUACUGGGCGUAAAGCGUGCGCAGGCGGUUUGCUAAGACCGAUGUGAAAUCCCCGGGCUCAACCUGGGAACUGCAUUGGUGACUGGCAGGCUAGAGUAUGGCAGAGGGGGGUAGAAUUCCACGUGUAGCAGUGAAAUGCGUAGAGAUGUGGAGGAAUACCGAUGGCGAAGGCAGCCCCCUGGGCCAAUACUGACGCUCAUGCACGAAAGCGUGGGGAGCAAACAGGAUUAGAUACCCUGGUAGUCCACGCCCUAAACGAUGUCAACUAGUUGUUGGGGAUUCAUUUCCUUAGUAACGUAGCUAACGCGUGAAGUUGACCGCCUGGGGAGUACGGUCGCAAGAUUAAAACUCAAAGG